CAAAAAGAUAUAGACGUAAUUUUAAAAACUAACUUAGUGGAUCACUGAGGUGUCUUGUCAUUCCGCGAAGCACGUUGAUGGCAGCAGCUGCUUUGAGCGUCUGGUGAAAGUGGAAGAAAGCAGGGAGGUGAGGGCACUGAACACAGAAAGACCCUGCCACCUGGUGGGGAAGCAGGGCUUGAGACGCACUUCUGCAUAGAGAGGAGGUGGCUGUACUUCACUGCGUCUCUACUGCUGGCACAGAGACACAGAGCUGUCUGGUUCUUUCUCGUCGAUGUCACAGUGAGAGGAAAGAAUGGCUUCUUGCCUCGAGAGACACUGUAGCCUUCAGGUGUUCUGGGUUCUGGGUGACGCCAGCAUUCAUGGGACCUCAGAGGAAAAGAGAUUACAUGAGACAGGGUCAUAAUGGCGGAGGAAGUGCGUGCGUGGCCAUGCAGCAACCCAAGGCGAGUGCGAAUAUCUUUUAAGUAUCCCAUGUUCGAGUGAAAACUCACAUGAAUUUUGCUUUUUGUGCCAUGAUGCAAUUAUUUGUUUUCAUUUAGAUGUCAAAAAAAUCAGAAAAUCUUUCAGAAAAUCUUUGGGCAACAUGAAGGUCCAGGGCCUAUUUGAGACACAGAGAGCCACAGACAAAGCCCAGUGAUGCUGAUCCAUUAGCCCAGAGCUCACCUGCCCGCAGGAGCCAGAAAACUACCCAGCAGAGGAGUCUGGUGUGCAUGGCAGAGAUGGCAUGAAGAAGACCCACAGGCAUGGCCCAGGAGGGAUGCUCACUGUAUUAGCCCAGGGAGUUAGACUUCAAAGGCCCCUCGUCUGAGGCGGGUCUUCCUGUGAAGUCACCAUUUCCGGGGAGCCUGUUGUCUCUGGACCUAAUCUUGUACAUCACUUGAAUGAGACAUCUUUUUUUCUCUACUGUAAACACAUCCUGGCCUAGUAUGUGUUACUACGGGGACAGCAUUGCGCAGGGCAGAAGAUUUUAUCUUGAUGAGGUCCCCAUAGUUCAUGUUUUGCUUUUUUCCCCCUUGCCUUUGGAGACGUGUUGAGUCUCCUGUUCAUUACUGCAUGUUCCAGACCAAACCUUUCCCCUUUGGUCUUCCCUACCAAUCAGUCAUCAUAAUGAGAGUCAAUGAAUGCAAGCAAUAAAUUGUGUGUUGGGAUGUGAGGAGUUACAAUGCAGUGGUCCUGGUGUCCUGAAGAGCCAUGGUGAGACUAUGGUCGACGAUGGCAGGGCCAACACCCAGCUCAGCAGCUCUGGAGGCUGCAGGACGACCGCUACAGUGUAUGUAAUCAUCUUUGGCGCCUGGAACUUACCUGGUCAAACUUCCAGACCUUCAAACUUGGCUCUUCUGGCAAAACUGUAGGUCUCUUCCCUCCCCGUGGAGCAUGCAAAGGUUAAAAAUUCAUCCCAGGGGCUAAAGCCUCAUUUCCUCCAAUUUAAAGACCUCAUAAUGUGUCCCUGCCUUCAACUGAGAGAGCACUUCUUAAGAGGGUAAAACUUGGCUAAACUACAGACAGGUCAGUAGCAAAAAUUAAUGCAGAAUAGAAAAUGCCAUUUAAGUUCACUCAUCUGUCUCCAAGCAGAUAAAUUAUUGGCUUAGACACUUCAUCGAACACUUUUGGAUUCCCUUUCCUGUUAUUACUAUUAUAAACUUCAAAGUGGCUAAGACACUGGAUCUUAAUUGUGUUCACCACAAAAAGAAAUAGUAAUUAGGUGAUGUGAUAGAGGUGUUAAGGAGCACAAUGGUGAUAAUCAUGCUAUGAUAUAUAAAUUUAUCCAAUCAAUAUACUGUACAUCUUAAGCUUACAUAAUGUUUUAUGUCAAUUAUAACCCAAUUAAAAACAGAUUUAUUGAGGUAUAAUUGACAUACAAAUCAACUGCACACAUUUAAAAAGUUUUGAUGUACGCAUGAUAAAAGAGGACUAUCACCACAAUCAGGAUAGUGAACAUAUCCAUCACCCCAAAAAGUUUCUAUCACGUUUUAAUCCUUCCCUGCCAAUCCUUCCCACACCUGUCCCAUCCCUAGGCAACCACCGAUCUGCUUUCUGUCAAUAUAGAUUUGCUUGCAUUUUCUAGUUGUUCAUAUAAAUGGAAUAAAAUAGUGUGUUUUUGUUUGUGUCUGGCUUAUUUCCAACACUGUAAUUAUUUGAGACUCAUCUAUAUUAUUAUGUACCUCAUAGUCAGUUAAUUUCUUUGGCCACUUAAAGAGUGCAUUUACUGAGAAGUUUAUAAAAUGUUUUAUAAUUUUAGAAGGUUCACAAAUUCAUCAAACAAGUUGGUACACAAUGCAAAUUAUACAACACGUUCCUCUAUUCACGAGGGUAUCUCUUGAAAAUAUGCUUUUCCCCCUGACAUUCAACCUACAAUAUUUGAAUCUUU